GUGCUUGAGUAACCAAAAAUAUUAGGAAAGAAAUCGUUAAGGGCGUAUGGCGGAUGCCUAGGCUUUCAGAGGCGACGAAGGACGUGGUAAGCUGCGAAAAGCUACGGGGAUUGGCACACACGAAUUGAUCCGUAGAUAUCCGAAUGGGGCAACCCAGUACAUUGAAGAUGUAUUACUGCGCAAGCAGAGCAAACCCGGAGAACUGAAACAUCUAAGUACCCGGAGGAAAAGAAAUCGAAGAGAUUCCGUAAGUAGUGGC
rnacentral:rRNA from 1 species